GGGUGCUCGAGUGGCGAACGGGUGAGUAACACGUGAGUAACCUGCCCUUGACUUUGGGAUAACUUCAGGAAACUGGGGCUAAUACCGGAUAGGAGCUCCUGCUGCAUGGUGGGGGUUGGAAAGUUUCGGCGGUUGGGGAUGGACUCGCGGCUUAUCAGCUUGUUGGUGGGGUAGUGGCUUACCAAGGCUUUGACGGGUAGCCGGCCUGAGAGGGUGACCGGCCACAUUGGGACUGAGACACGGCCCAG
rnacentral:rRNA from 1 species